rnacentral:rRNA from 1 species
CCUACGGGUGGCAGCAGUGGGGAAUAUUGGACAAUGGGGGCAACCCUGAUCCAGCAAUGCCGCGUGUGUGAAGAAGGCCUUCGGGUUGUAAAGCACUUUAGUUGGGGAGGCUGUACCCAAAGAAUAAGCACCGGCUAACUCUGUGCCAGCAGCCGCGGUAAUACAGAGGGUGCGAGCGUUAAUGGAAUUACUGGGCGUAAAGGGCGCGUAGGCGGUUUAUUAAGUUAGAUGUGAAAUCCCUGGGCUUAACCUAGGAACUGCAUCUAAGACUGAUAAGCUGGAGUGCGGUAGAGGAUAGUGGAAUUUCCGGUGUAGCGGUGAAAUGCGUAGAUAUCGGAAGGAACACCAGUGGCGAAGGCGGCUAUCUGGCUACACUGACGCUGAGGCGCGAGAGCGUGGGGAGCAAACAGGAUUAGAUACCCUUGUAGUC